rnacentral:rRNA from 1 species
GCUUACCUACGGGGCGCAGCAGUGGGGGAUAUUGCACAAUGGGGGAAACCCUGAUGCAGCGACGCCGCGUGAGCGAUGAAGUAUUUCGGUAUGUAAAGCUCUAUCAGCAGGGAAGAAAAUGACGGUACCUGACUAAGAAGCCCCGGCUAACUACGUGCCAGCAGACGCGGUAAUACGUAGGGGGCAAGCGUUAUCCGGAUUUACUGGGUGUAAAGGGAGCGGAGAGGGCAGUGCAAGUCUGCAGUGAAAGGCAAGGGCACAACCCUUGGACUGCUUUGGAAAGUGUGCGGGUCGAGUGUCGGGGG